rnacentral:rRNA from 1 species
UACGUAGGUGGCAAGCGUUGUCCGGAAUUAUUGGGCGUAAAGCGCGCGCAGGCGGUCCUUUUAAGUCUGAUGUGAAAGCCCACGGCUCAACCGUGGAGGGUCAUUGGAAACUGGGGGAACUUGAGUGCAGGAGAGAAGAGUGGAAUUCCACGUGUAGCGGUGAAAUGCGUAGAGAUGUGGAGGAACACCAGUGGCGAAGGCGACUCUUUGGCCUGUAACUGACACUGAGGCGGCGAAAGCGUGGGGAGCA